rnacentral:rRNA from 1 species
GUAGGUGGCAAGCGUUGUCCGGAAUUAUUGGGCGUAAAGCGCGCGCAGGCGGGUCCUUUUAAGUCUGAUGUGAAAAGCCCACGGGCUCAACCGUGGAGGGUCAUUGGAAACUGGGGGACUUGAGUACAGAAGAGGAAAGCGGAAUUCCAAGUGUAGCGGUGAAAUGCGUAGAGAUUUGGAGGAACACCAGUGGCGAAGGCGGCUUUCUGGUCUGUAACUGACGCUGAGGCGCGAAAGCGUGGGGAGCAAACAGGAUUAGAUACCCUGGUAGUCCACGCCGUAAACGAUGAGUGCUAAGUGUUAGGGGGUUUCCGCCCCUUAGUGCUGCAGCUAACGCAUUAAGCACUCCGCCUGGGGAGUACGGCCGCAAAGGCUG